GUAGUUGUUGAUCUCAUUUAAGUUGUUGCUGUUUCAAUGAAAAUGAAACUCACUACCGUCCGUAUCGUGGAUAUUUAAAUUAAAAUUAAAAUUUAAUGUACAUGCAAUAUUCUUAAACUAAUUCGUAACUGUAGUCGAAUAGAAUUAUGUAUAAAUACGUAGAAAAACUAUAACUUAAAAGCUAGAUGUGUGUAAAUGGUUUUAUACAAAUUGGCCAAUGGCAACAAUGCUCAAUUUUGAUCCAGAGAAAACAACAAAAACUACAUUGUCACUACGAAAGGGCGGCAUGUCGGUCAGUAGAGAAAAAACAAGUUACAUCGGAAGACUCCAAGACGAUGACUCUUACAAGGAGCGGUUUUAUAAUUAAAAUUUGAAUUGUAAAUCAAAUUGCACAAAAAAUACCAUAAAUAAUAUGGUAAUCCAGGCUGAAACAAAAACUUUAUUUGAUUACAUCAAAAACCAAUCUAUAUAUAGCAAAGAAGACAGCUUUAUUUUGGAAACGUCUCCCAAAGAAAACUUUUAUAUCAAGGACUGAAAUCAGCACCCGAAUUUAAAGCUAGUAAAGACAGACUAACAUUAUUUCUAGCUGGCAAUGCAAAUGGCGAUUUUAAGUCUAAGCCGAAGGGCUGCUCAAAGGAUUGACUUUCUAUACACUGGCAAGCCAAAAAGAAAUCAUGGAUGACGACGUUGUUAUUUAAAAACUGGGUUUCUACCUGCACCACUAAACCUUUUUUGCAAUGAAGAGAAGUUAAGUAAUCCUAUUGGUCACCCGGUUUACAUUGAUGACUUAUCUGAAAAUGCACAUCACAUCAUUAAUGCAGUCGAAGAAGCAGGAUGUAAUUUCGAAUUUUAAAACGUAUUAUCUCAGCCCAUCAUAUAAAAUACUUUUAAGUGAAACUGAUGGAGAAUUAUUCCAGAAUUUUGGCGCAAAAUAUGGUCAGAAUGUGCACAUAAGAAAAACAGGUACAAUUCCUAUUUAGAAUAUGACGACGAUGAAGCGGAUAUUAUUUGUCAUCAAAUUGCUAAAUUAGCAAGAGAAUAAAUGAAUUGCUUGUUUCUUAUGACCAAUGUCGAACGAUAACUAUAAGUGAGCGUACAAACUUAUCUUCACGGAAAAUAUCUAAAGCAAUGACUCUAAUUGACGAAGCAAUGAAAAUUUUUUAAAGAAAUGAUCCUAGUUUUAAUUGUUUCAAGAAAAUUUACUUCAAUAUAAAAACACAAGCUGUUCAGCAAACUUUGGACAUAUUUUUUGAAAAAGGAAAGAUCUUGGCCUCGCCUGCAGAGUCUGAGUAAUUUUGAAAUUAUGUGUUAUUUUAAUUUUUGAUUCAGUUUCUAGUUUAUGUUUUUGAAUAAAUAAAGUUUUACUUUUGUUUUAUUAUUUAAA